AAAUGAAUUGACGGGGGCCCGCACAAGCAGUGGAGUAUGUGGUUUAAUUCGAAGCAACGCGAAGAACCUUACCAGGUCUUGACAUCGGAUGCAUACCUUAGAGAUAAGGGAAGUCCUUCGGGACAUCCAGACAGGUGGUGCAUGGUUGUCGUCAGCUCGUGUCGUGAGAUGUUGGGUUAAGUCCCGCAACGAGCGCAACCCUUAUCAUUAGUUGCUACGCAAGAGCACUCUAAAGAGACUGCCGUUGACAAAACGGAGGAAGGUGGGGAUGACGUCAAAUCAUCAUGCCCCUUAUGACCUGGGCUACACACGUACUACAAUGGCGAUGAACAGAGGGAAGCGAACCAGCGAUGGGGAGCGAACCCCUAAAAAUCGUCUCAGUUCGGAUUGCAGGCUGCAACCCGCCUGCAUGAAGUCGGAAUUGCUAGUAAUCGCGGAUCAGCAUGCCGCGGUGAAUACGUUCCCGGGCCUUGUACACACCGCCCGU
rnacentral:rRNA from 1 species